UACGUAGGGUGCGAGCGUUGUCCGGAAUUAUUGGGCGUAAAGGGCUCGUAGGCGGUCUGUCACGUCGGGAGUGAAAACACGGGGCUUAACCCCGUGCCUGCUUCCGAUACGGGCAGACUAGAGGUAUGCAGGGGAGAACGGAAUUCCUGGUGUAGCGGUGAAAUGCGUAGAGAUCGGGAGGAACACCAGUGGCGAAGGCGGCCUUCUGGACCAAUACUGACGCUCAUGCACGAAAGCGUGGGGAGCAAACAGG
rnacentral:rRNA from 1 species